rnacentral:rRNA from 1 species
AUUGAACGCUGGCGGCAGGCCUAACACAUGCAAGUCGAACGAGUGGCGGACGGGUGAGUAAUGUAUGGGAAACUGCCCGAUGGAGGGGGAUAACUACUGGAAACGGUAGCUAAUACCGCAUACCAUCGGAUGUGCCCAGAUGGGAUUAGCUAGUAGGUGGGGUAAAGGCUCACCUAGGCGACGAUCCCUAGCUGGUCUGAGAGGAUGACCAGCCACACUGGGACUGAGACACGGCCCAGACUCCUACGGGAGGCAGCAGUGGGGAAUAUUGCACAAUGGGCGCAAGCCUGAUGCAGCCAUGCCGCGUGUAUGAAGAAGGCCUUCGGGUUGUAAAGUACUUUCAGCGGGGAGGCGUUACUCGCAGAAGAAGCACCGGCUAACUCCGUGCCAGCAGCCGCGGUAAUAC